AAUGAUAUGGAUGCCGAAAAUUUUAUUUCGCUUCUUUAUUUCGCUACUGUGGAACAAGUGAAGUGAUGCAAAUUUCUGCUCAAAGCGAAUCAAUUGUCACAUGCGCACGAGGUUUCAUGAAGUGUUUUGCCAUGGAUUGUGUUCAACGAAAAUUUCCCUCAUUUGAAAUCGAUACUGAACAAGUUUUAGGAUGUCAACCAAAUUUUCAACUGUUUCAUCAAGAGGCAGAUUUCAAGAAAAUUCAUCCAGCUGAAUGUGAAGUUCAACCUGACCCGGAACGUGAUCGACGAAGAGGUGGUUAAGGCUCGGCUCGAGGAAUUCAAGACCAAACUGUCCGAUUAGUGCUUGGUGAUCGAGAUGUUUCCCUGCCCGACUCUGUCAGAACGCAAUCACCCAGCUAUCGGUCAUUCUUCGCCCAGGAUCCGCUGUGCGUUGAUGCAAAACGCGCUCAAGAAGCUGCUUCUGCCCCAGGAGUACGUCCUCGAGAAAUUACGGCUGAGUGCGUUUCUGGACGAGGAUCUGCAGAAGCAGCAAUUAGAUAGUGUUUGAAAGAAAAGUAUGAUGUAAUUUUAAUCACAAAGCAUUAUUACUGCAAUGCUGAAAUAAAAAAAACACUCUAGAAUGAAUGAAUAGGCACACAUUCUCUUGUAGGCAGAUUUCAAGAUGAUCACAGGAAGUGAACAGACAAUACACAUAAAUAAGUAGUGCCCCUAGCUUGUUAGAAAUUGUUAUUAUUAUUGCUUCAUUAAAUUUUACACUUUUAUCUAACCGUGUUUCUGGGACUGUUAAAAAAUAUGUGGCAA